rnacentral:lncRNA from 1 species
AGAAGAAAAAGAAAGGGGGGAAAAAGAGAGAGAAAAUUUAGUUACCAUCACCCUUAGUUAGGAGUCCAAGAACCCGAGGAUUGAGUGCUAAAAUAUGUCAAAUUAGUUAAAGGACUAAGAAGAAGAAGUAUAUGUUUGGAGAGUUGAUUUGGUGGCUAGAAAGUGAUGCAAAAUGAGUUGGUGAAAGGAGCACACCAAUAAAAUCCGCACUUCAUUGGUUUAUACGUCAAGCUAAUGACGUGAAACAAGCGCUUUUGGGAGGCAACCCAAUUUUCUUACCCUUUUUACUUGUGUAUGUGUGAUUUUUGUGUCAUUUGCAUAUUUGGCUUAUGUUUUGCAUGUGUGUCUUUUGCAUUUUUUGUGAUUUUUGAGUUGUAAUUUUGUUUUUGUUGUUGGUAUAUGUGUGUUUUAUGUUAGUUGUAGCUUGGUUUGUGUAUAAGUGCUUUGAAAGAGUGUCAAUUGCCUAAAAUCAUAAAGUGAAAGACAAAUUUUUGCAGAGUAGUUGAGCUGCGGCUGGGUUGCCGCUUGAGCAGUAGCCUGGCUGUGGUUGAGCGCCACACCAGUAAAUCUGGUUUUAAGUUGUUUUUCUGAUACGCCGCUCGAGCGGUAGCUGGGCGGUAGCCGGGCGGCAGCGCUGUAGAAUUUUUUUGGCCUUGACACGUUUUUGUUGUUUGUUUUGAGUUUUUCUUUUCUUUGCACUCUUUCACACAUUCCUUUUAGUGUGUUUUUGGACAUUUCUAUUCAGUUGUUGACUAUGGAAUACUAAUCUCACUUUGAGCUCACUUUGUGCAAGAUAACAUCUUUCUUAAAACUUUAAAGGUGUCAAAACCAUCAUUGGUCAUCCUUUGAGGCAUGCAUGAGCUGAGCAGCCUAUGACUUGAAGAUUUUGCUGCUCGUGUAGAAUGGCCUGGGGGCCAAGCCCCUACUGAUGGGGGAGGUGGAGCAGUUGCGGAGUAUAAGCUACUGUGAGGAGGAAGAUGUUUCAGAUGAUAAGUGAAGCUAGUGUCCUACACUACUGGAGCUGCAAAGAGUCCAUUUUAAUCGGUUUUUCAGUUUUAAUUUCAAGUUUUUAUUUGCUUUCAGUUUUUAGUUUUUGGAUUUAUUUUUGACUUGCCUAGUGGAUA